rnacentral:rRNA from 1 species
AAAGGAAUUGACGGGGGCCCGCACAAGCGGUGGAGCAUGUGGUUUAAUUCGAGGCAACGCGAAGAACCUUACCAAGGCUUGACAUCCCGCUGACUGGUGUGGAAACACAUCUUUUCUUCGGAACAGCGGAGACAGGUGGUGCAUGGUUGUCGUCAGCUCGUGUCGUGAGAUGUUGGGUUAAGUCCCGCAACGAGCGCAACCCUUAUCUUUAGUAGCCAUCGGGUAAUGCCGGGUACACUAGAGAGACUGCCGUGGAAACACGGAGGAAGGUGGGGAUGAGGUCAAAUCAUCAUGCCCCUUAUGUCUUGGGCUACACACGUGCUACAAUGGCUGCAACAGAGUGACGCGAUCCUGUGAGGGUGAGCUAACCACAAAAAAGCAGUCUCAGUUCGGAUUGUAGUCUGCAACCCGACUACAUGAAGUCGGAAUCGCUAGUAAUCGCGAAUCAGCAUGUCGCGGUGAAUACGUUCCCGGGCCUUGUACACACCGCCCGU